rnacentral:rRNA from 1 species
GAUGAACGCUGGCGGCGUGCCUAAUACAUGCAAGUCGAACGCUUCACUUCGGUGAAGAGUGGCGAACGGGUGAGUAAUACAUAAGUAACCUGGCAUCUACAGGGGGAUAACUGAUGGAAACGUCAGCUAAGACCGCAUAGGUGUAGAGAUCGCAUGAACUCUAUAUGAAAAGUGCUACGGGACUGGUAGAUGAUGGACUUAUGGCGCAUUAGCUUGUUGGUAGGGUAACGGCCUACCACGGCGACGAUGCGUAGCCGACCUGAGAGGGUGACCGGCCACACGGGGACUGAGACACGGCCCAGACUCCUACGGGAGGCAGCAGUAGGGAAUUUUCGGCAAUGGGGGAAACCCUGACCGAGCAACGCCGCGUGAAGGAAGAAGUAAUUCGUUAUGUAAACUUCUGUCAUAGAGGAAGAACGGUGGAUAUAGGGAAUGAUAUCCAAGUGACGGUACUCUAUAAGAAAGCCACGGCUAACUACGUG